rnacentral:rRNA from 1 species
AGGAGGUUUGAUCAUGGGCUCAGGACGAACGCUGGCGGCGUGCCUAAUACAUGCAAGUCGAGCGGAAUUAAAGGAGCUUGCUCCUUUAAUUUAGCGGCGGACGGGUGAGUAACACGUGGGUAACCUGCCUGUAAGAUUGGGAUAACUCCGGGAAACCGGGGCUAAUACCGGAUAAUAUGGAAAGCUGCAUGGCUUUUGAUUGAAAGGCGGCUUCGGCUGCCGCUUACAGAUGGACCCGCGGCGCAUUAGCUAGUUGGUGAGGUAACGGCUCACCAAGGCGACGAUGCGUAGCCGACCUGAGAGGGUGAUCGGCCACACUGGGACUGAGACACGGCCCAGACUCCUACGGGAGGCAGCAGUAGGGAAUCUUCCGCAAUGGACGAAAGUCUGACGGAGCAACGCCGCGUGAGUGAUGAAGGUUUUCGGAUCGUAAAACUCUGUUGUCAGGGAAGAACAAGUACGGGAGUAACUGUCCGUACCUUGACGGUACCUGGCCAGAAAGCCACGGCUAACUACGUGCCAGCAGCCGCGGUAAUACGUAGGUGGCAAGCGUUGUCCGGAAUUAUUGGGCGUAAAGCGCGCGCAGGCGGUCUUUUAAGUCUGAUGUGAAAGCCCACGGCUCAACCGUGGAGGGUCAUUGGNAAACUGGNAAGACUUGAGUGCAGAAGAGAAGAGCGGAAUUCCACGUGUAGCGGUGAAAUGCGUAGAGAUGUGGAAGGAACACCCAGUGGCGAAAGCGGCUCUUUGGUCUGUUAAC